UAUACAUGUACACAAGCAGAAUCAGCAGUAUGAAAAACUGAGGCGAAAUCUUGACUUCGAAUUCGUCAAUUUCAGAGAACCAGUGGCAGUCAUUACCUACGUUUACGAUAAAUAUUUGCGGCGCGGCGCAGGAGGACGAGCGAGGAGGAGGAGGAUGCGUGAGGGAACGAUGCCGGGAUCGCGGGACCACGUCGACACCGCCCUGCUCAUGGACAUGGAGAGGCUGCACACCGGUGACCAUGACGACGAUGACGGCGUCGGCGGCGGCGACGACGUUUACCCGAUGUCCGUCAUCGUGACGGGGGUCGAUGGCGGCGUGUUCGUGGACGAGAUGCGACGGCACGUCUUUGAGGCCCACUUCCGACAGUUUGAUCCCGAGGCGGAGUUCGCUUACCUUCGCAGCUUCUUAGAGCGAAGAU